GACGAACGCUGGCGGCGUGCUUAACACAUGCAAGUCGAACGGAAAGGCCCUGCUUUUGUGGGGUGCUCGAGUGGCGAACGGGUGAGUAACACGUGAGUAACCUGCCCUUGACUUUGGGAUAACUUCAGGAAACUGGGGCUAAUACCGGAUAGGAGCUCCUGCUGCAUGGUGGGGGUUGGAAUGUUUCGGCGGUUGGGGAUGGACUCGCGGCUUAUCAGCUUGUUGGUGGGGUAGUGGCUUACCAAGGCUUUGACGGGUAGCCGGCCUGGGAGGGUGACCGGCCACAUUGGAACUGGGAUACGGCCCAGACUCCUACGGGGGGAAGAAGUGGGGAAUAUUGCACAAGGGGCGGAGGCCGGAGGCAGCAACGCCGCGUGCGGGAGAACGGCCUUCGGUUGUAAACCGCUUUCGCCUGUGACGAAGCGUGAGUGACGGUAAUGGGUAAAGAAGCACCGGCUAACUACGUG
rnacentral:rRNA from 1 species